rnacentral:rRNA from 1 species
CCUACGGGAGGCAGCAGUGAGGAAUAUUGGUCAAUGGCCGGGAGGCUGAACCAGCCAAGUCGCGUGAGGGAAGACGACCCUACGGGUUGUAAACCUCUUUUGUCAGGGAGCAAGGUGCAGGUCGGGACCUGCUGUGAGAGUACCUGAAGAACAAGCAUCGGCUAACUCCGUGCCAGCAGCCGCGGUAAUACGGAGGAUGCGAGCGUUAUCCGGAUUUAUUGGGUUUAAAGGGUGCGCAGGCGGAGGCACAAGUCAGCGGUAAAAUCGCGGGGCUCAACCCCGCUCCGCCGUUGAAACUGUGGCCCUUGAGUGCGCGAAGGGUAGGCGGAAUGCGUGGUGUAGCGGUGAAAUGCAUAGAUAUCACGCAGAACUCCGAUCGCGAAGGCAGCCUACCGGCGCGCAACUGACGCUCAUGCACGAAAGCGUGGGUAUCGAACAGGAUUAGAUACCCCAGUAGUC